rnacentral:rRNA from 1 species
UACGGAGGGUGCAAACGUUGCUCGGAAUCAUUGGGCGUAAAGCGCACGUAGGUGGCCUGUUAAGUCGGGUGUGAAAUCCCUGGGCUCAACCCAGGAAGUGCACUCGAAACUGGCAGGCUUGAGUACUGAAGAGGGUCGCGGAAUUCCCGGUGUAGAGGUGAAAUUCGUAGAUAUCUGGAGGAAUACCGGUGGCGAAGGCGGCAUCCUGGACCGACAUUGACGCUGAGGAGCGAAAGCCAGGGGAGCAAACGGG